GCCCUGUUAGCUCAGUCGGUAGAGCAUGAGACUCUUAACCUCAGGGUUGUGGGUUUGGGCCCCAUGUUGGGUG
rnacentral:tRNA from 1 species